ACGGCGAGUGAAGCGGCAACAGCUCAAAUUUGAAAUCUGGCCUCUUUGGGGUCCGAGUUGUAAUUUGUAGAGGAUGUUUCGGGCACCGCUCCGGUUUAAAUUUCUUGGAACAGAAUGUCAAAGAGGGUGAGAACCCCGUCUUGGACCGGCAGUAGGGCCCAUGUGAAACUCCUUCGACGAGUCGAGUUGUUUGGGAAUGCAGCUCAAAAUGGGUGGUAAAUUUCAUCUAAAGCUAAAUAUUGGCCAGAGACCGAUAGCGCACAAGUAGAGUGAUCGAAAGAUGAAAAGCACUUUGAAAAGAGAGUUAAACAGUACGUGAAAUUGUUGAAAGGGAAGCGCUUGCAACCAGACUUGCGCGCGGCGGUUCCCCCUUCCUUUUGGUUGGGUUAUUCCGCCGUGUCCAGGCCAACAUCGGUUCUGGGGGUCGGUUAAAGGCCUGGGGAAUGUAUCUACCCUUCGGGCGUAGACUUAUAGCCCCGGGUGUCAUGCGACCUCCCGGGACCGAGGAACGCGCUUCGGCUCGGAUGUUGGCGUAAUGGUUGUCAGCGAC
rnacentral:rRNA from 1 species